rnacentral:lncRNA from 1 species
AUCUUCCGCCCUUGACACGACCGAACCUCAAAACACAGAAACAAAAUUGUAACGAUCCUAACCCGGUUUUUUUUUCUAAAGCCGGUUUGCUUUGGCUAAUUAAUUUUUUUUGUUACUAAACCAAAUCCCUUAUUUUAUUUUUAAGUUGUGCGUGUGUGUAUUUAAAAGGAAUCACCUAUUCUUUUAUGAGAAAUUCUUGGGUUCACCCCCUAGGUGAACCUCUAGAUUCACCAACCAAUAGUGUUUGAGUAUUUGAUAUUUGAUAUCUUUUAAAAAAGGAAACAAAAUUGAAUUUCCAAAUAAGAUUAUAUUUUUG